UACGAAGGGGGCUAGCGUUGUUCGGAAUUACUGGGCGUAAAGGGCGCGUAGGCGGAUGGCACAGUCAGAUGUGAAAUUCCCGGGCUUAACCUGGGGGCUGCAUUUGAUACGUGUUGUCUUGAGUUCGGAAGAGGGUCGUGGAAUUCCCAGUGUAGAGGUGAAAUUCGUAGAUAUUGGGAAGAACACCGGUGGCGAAGGCGGCGACCUGGUCCGACACUGACGCUGAGGCGCGAAAGCGUGGGGAGCAAACAGG
rnacentral:rRNA from 1 species